UUGUUAUGCAGGUAUGUUUACGCUGUAUACUCGUGUUAUUGAACUAAUGUUUAAGCGAACUGUAAACUCACCAACCACGGAGUCAUCUUAAAUUAGAUGGUUUUUUUAUU
rnacentral:sRNA from 17 species